AUUGCUUCUCGGCCUUUUGGCUAAGAUCAAGUGUAGUAUCUGUUCUUAUCAGUUUAAUAAUUGAAUUUUGAUUGCUUCUCGGCCUUUUGGCUAAGAUCAAGUGUAGUAUCUGUU
rnacentral:snRNA from 1 species